GCCUUCGUAGUCUAGUGGAAAAACACUGCUCUCCUAAAGCGGAGUCCCGGGUUCGACCCCCGGCGGAGGUU